GAUUUUAGUGCUUGCACUAAAUGAAACUAGAUACAAGCGAGCGGCGGACGGGUGAGUAACACGUGGGUAACCUGCCCAAGAGACUGGGAUAACACCUGGAAACAGAUGCUAAUACCGGAUAACAACACUAGACGCAUGUCUAGAGUUUGAAAGAUGGUUCUGCUAUCACUCUUGGAUGGACCUGCGGUGCAUUAGCUAGUUGGUAAGGUAACGGCUUACCAAGGCAAUGAUGCAUAGCCGAGUUGAGAGACUGAUCGGCCACAUUGGGACUGAGACACGGCCCAAACUCCUACGGGAGGCAGCAGUAGGGAAUCUUCCACAAUGGACGAAAGUCUGAUGGAGCAACGCCGCGUGAGUGAAGAAGGGUUUCGGCUCGUAAAGCUCUGUUGGUAGUGAAGAAAGAUAGAGGUAGUAACUGGCCUUUAUUUGACGGUAAUUACUUAGAAAGUCACGGCUAACUACGUGCCAGCAGCCGCGGUAAUACGUAGGUGGCAAGCGUUGUCCGGAUUUAUUGGGCGUAAAGCGAGUGCAGGCGGUUCAAUAAGUCUGAUGUGAAAGCCUUCGGCUCAACCGGAGAAUUGCAUCAGAAACUGUUGAACUUGAGUGCAGAAGAGGAGAGUGGAACUCCAUGUGUAGCGGUGGAAUGCGUAGAUAUAUGGAAGAACACCAGUGGCGAAGGCGGCUCUCUGGUCCGCAACUGACGCUGAGGCUCGAAAGCAUGGGUAGCGAACAGGAUUAGAUACCCUGGUAGUCCAUGCCGUAAACGAUGAGUGCUAAGUGUUGGGAGGUUUCCGCCUC
rnacentral:rRNA from 1 species